GAUGAACGCUAGCGACAGGCUUAACACAUGCAAGUCGAGGGGCAGCGGGGUUGUAGCAAUACAACUGCCGGCGACCGGCGCACGGGUGAGUAACACGUAUGUAACCUGCCCUCUGCAGGGGGAUAAGCGGAAGAAAUUCCGUCUAAUACCGCAUAAUACAAUUUGGAGACAUCUCCGGGUUGUCAAAGGAGUGAUCCGGCAGAGGAUGGACAUGCGGCGCAUUAGCUAGUCGGCGGGGUAACGGCCCACCGAGGCUACGAUGCGUAGGGGUUCUGAGAGGAAGGUCCCCCACAUUGGAACUGAGACACGGUCCAA
rnacentral:rRNA from 1 species